GAUUCUACUCUAAAAGUCACCAGGAAAAAUUCAGCUCCACUGGUCCUGGCUCUAAGUCUACUAGCAAAAUCUUCCAGAGAAGUGGAAAAGCCAUCAGCCAAUGUGUUAGACUAUCAUUUCCAUGACCUUACACCUAUCAAAAAGGCACUAUUACCAGGCUUAUAGAAUUCUAAAAAAGUUGGAAACCAUUUUCCAUUAUAAAAGAAAUUCUUCCAAAUCACACAAAACACUCUGACACUUCUCCAAUUCCCCCUAUCAUGGGGCUGGCAGCAGCCGCUUUGCGUCCUGAAUGUCAUGACAGUGAUGAUAACAGUAAUGAUGAUAACAGCAAUGAUGAAGUCUCACAUUUAAAAUUUUCAAGUCACUCAUCACAUCCCAAGUCACUCCCUUCAUUACCUUUUAUUUAUACUGGAGUCAUCCUGUGUGCCUCAGUCAGACCAUUUUGUAUGUACAAUGACCGACAAUGAGAUUUAACAUGCAGUUUGCAGAUCCUCCCUUCUCUGGGUCACCUGAAAAUAAGCCACAAACAAAGGAAUGAAAUUGUUGAUGAAAAGGGAAGAGGCAAGACUCCAUAUGAAGAAUACAACUGACUCACCUGUCUGUACAUGCCUCUGUGUGUGUGUUUUAUAUUGGUGCUGGUGAAGAUAGUUCUUUAUGCUGAUGCUUAAUAAGGUGAAAUGUGUCUAUUUUCUUCCAUUGGCCCAGGCACAGAUGCGAUUAUAAUUGCUAAGAUUAUUUGCAUAUUGGCUUUUAAUGAUGCAUUUAAAAAUAUUCAUCCCAUUUACUGACUUAUGCAGGCAAUGUACUUUUGUAAAUGUGGGCCAGCAUCAUGCUUAAAUUCCCAAACCACUAUUUAUUUAAAACUCAUCACUUCAGUUUUUAUACCCUUUCUCCCCCAUAAGGGAAAAAAUAUGAUUCUGACUGUAUAAGCACCAACUAAACAGAACACAAAACAUGGCAGACGAUAAAAACAUAUUUUCACAAAUGAGACAUGUCAUUUUACCAUCGAGGAGAGAAACAAAAUAAGCUGGUUUUCAAGUUCCAUAUCUUGUGUGCUCCUUUCAGCUAAAUGCCCUUACAUCUGUAAGCCCUUGGGACAGGUUAAGGCUUUUAUUAUUAUUUUAAAGUCUUCAUAACUACAACCUAGCAUCCAAAGUGAAACAGAUGCUAUUGGAUAUGAGUAGCAUAUGCAAUGGAAAUAUUGACAUUGCCUUCCCGACAGUCAUGAGGGAUAGACCAUAGGCUUUUUGGUAACCUAUAUUUUCUAGGCCCAAAGCAGGGAAUGAGAUGGCAGGGAAAUUCAGGGUAAACUCCAAAUUUACAUAAAGUUAUAGAAGAAUAUAGAUCAUGAGUAGUGGCUAGCACCUUCCUGACUUCCAGAAAAUGGUGGUGCCGAUAUUGAACAACAGUUUGGAGAAAAUGUAAAAUGUUUACAUUUACAUUUACAGUUUAGUCUUUGAACAACAGUUUGGAGAAAAUGUAAAAUGAAAAUUUGUUAACGAACUUGUUUUUAAAAAGCACCUAGACUCCAUAUAAGAGUACUUGUCCUAUGUUAUUUUCAUAAACUACAUUUGUGAUUGU
rnacentral:lncRNA from 1 species